rnacentral:rRNA from 1 species
CGGGUCGCUGCAGCAGUGGGGAAUAUUGCACAAUGGGGGAAACCCUGAUGCAGCAACGCCGCGUGGAGGAUGACGCAUUUCGGUGUGUAAACUCCUUUUAUAUAGGAAGAUAAUGACGGUACUAUAUGAAUAAGCACCGGCUAACUCCGUGCCAGCAGCCGCGGUAAUACGGAGGGUGCAAGCGUUACUCGGAAUCACUGGGCGUAAAGCGCGCGCAGGCGGCCCCUUAAGUUGGAUGUGAAAGCCUACGGCUUAACCGUAGAACUGCAUCCAAAACUGAGGGGCUAGAGUCUGGGAGGGGAAGAUGGAAUUAGUUGUGUAGGGGUAAAAUCCGUAGAGAUAACUAGGAAUACCAAAAGCGAAGGCGAUCUUCUGGAACAGUACUGACGCUGAGGCGCGAAAGCGUGGGGAGCAAACAGGAUUAGAUACCCGCGUAGUC